AUAUACGUCACCUGGGCAUCUUAUUCAAAUGCAGAUUCUGAUUCAGUAGGUUAGGGUGGGGCCUGGGAUUCUGCAUUUCUAACACGCUCCCAGGUGACUCUGAG
rnacentral:pre_miRNA from 1 species